AAAUAAUGAUUAAAAAAAAAAUUCAAACAGGAGAUUCGGGCAAGGAGCAGAGCCUUGAAGAAGGAGCAGCGCCAUCGGGGAAGGGAGGCUGCUUGGCAGAGCAUCGGAUGGGGAAGGAAGCAGAGACCAGACCUCCCAUCGCCGGCACGCUGCCCCACCAGCUAUGAUAACAAGGAAAUUGCCUUGAACUGUGGACUUACGUUAAGGGAGUGCAUCAAAUUUCCAACGCUUGCUAAUGAUUUUUCAGAUACAUAUUAGAGUCUGCAAGCUUUGAAUUGUUCUUCAAAUUUGUGGAAUUGCCAAACUUUGAUGCUGCUUGUGAUGCUUUCUCUACUUUGAAGGUCAGAUGUAUGAGUUUGUAAGUUCCAGUUUCUUUAUGUUUACCUGUUAGUUUUUAAGCCUCCAGUUAUCCAUACUUUACAUAGUCUUUAAGCGUCCAGUUAUGCACUUUUUACAUGUUUGUAAAUAGAUGGUUGCCAGGAUUUGCUUACUAAACAUGGCACCGUGGUUGCUGAAUUUCUUACCGCACACUAUGAUGAGUUCUUUUAUCUGUAUGAAAAUCUGUUGACAUCUCCUAAUUAUGUGACAAGAAGGCAAUCAUUGAAGGUUAGUUUCUACUAUAAGUUCUUAAAUUCUACACUGCCGUUGUUUUGAUCCGUAAGUUAACAGGACUACGUAGUGGAUUUAGCUUCUCUCGGAAUUCCUUUUGGAGGCUCCAAAUUCUCAUAUAAUGAAGCACUAUGUUUUAGAAGUUCGAUACUUAAAAGUCAUGAUGACAUUGCUGAAGGCAUGGCAAUUUUCAUUUUCAUUCUAUUUCUUACAUCUUAAUUUUGGAUUUUUUUUGUUUGACGAAUUGGAUAUGUUGUACAUGGAUUAGAUGGGUGUUUUGAAGCAAUUGUACCAUAUAGCUGAUAGCUAUUAAAGUUAGAAUCCUGACUGAGCUCAAAAAAGCCCAAAAAGACAUGAAAUUAGAGAGCUAAAAGCCUUGAACAAGAAGGGGCCUCUCUGAUUCUAAUGUUUUGUUUUGAUUACUGAGAGUGGAACCCCCUUAAUAUCAUGUGAAAAUACAUGAGGCCGCAAUUGGAAUUAUAUAAUUUUUAGUAACAGGAUAACUCUCUGUAUCUUUUGCUCUCCCAUAAUCAGGUUUGUAUGUCUUUUAGUUCUGUUCUACAAACAGUAGUAGUUCUAAUGUCUAUUUGAUCCCUUAGUAUAAAGAAACUAAACAAUCUCAUCAGAAUUGGCACCUGGGCGUAUCUAUCUGCUGGCUUUCCAGUUUAUUCUAGCGGAAAAGUUUACUCCCCAUUUGUGUUCUAUGCGUCACACAAGAAUUCUUGAAUGCUUUUUUCAUGGGAAGUCAUUACAAUUUUGAUUCUGAACUAGCUUGAGAGCUGUUAAAUGAUUUGAGUAUGAUGCUAUACCUAUUCUCAGGACACAAAAUUAUGGAGGGUUUCACUGCUUCUCGUGGGAUGGAUUAAUGUGUGAAGUGAAGUAUUUCUAUAUAUAGGAAAGUAAAAAUGUUUUGGUUACUCGCAGUCUGAGUUUUUAAAUAUCCAAUAUGCAGUUUAGCCAUCAAAGCUUCAUGCUUUUUACCUGUCUGUCUGAUAAGAUGCUAAGAUUGUCUCACUUUGCCUUCUUGGUGUGUUACAGACUUGAAGUGGUAUUUGAUACUUCUGUGAGCUCAUGGAUAUCUUGAGCUAUAAUAGAUUUUUUUUUCCUUUUGAAUAUAUAUUUGAAUCAUUUAUAAUUACUAAUUUGUAGUGUGACCAUUUUAUCUACUUUGUUUCUGGCUGUGAGCAGGACUCGAGCAAAAAAAUUCAGAUCUCAGCUUUCCACAUUUUCAAGCUUGGAUAAUAGUUUGCAGCAGAAAUUGUCAUCCAUGGAUCUCAUUCAGAGUUUUCAAUCCCUUGGUCUUCACUCAGGUUUUUGUUGCUAAUCCUAACAAGCCACCAGAUAUAAAAGUAAUUUUGGCAAAAGCUAAUGAAAGAUUGGUGGAACUGCUUAGUAAUCUCUCUGUUGGAAAAGGCAAGUACAAUUAUGAUAUUGUCCUGCUACACUGCUACCAGAUAUGUACAAGUGGCAAAUGGAUCUCCCCUUGAAAUAAUGUUAUUAAAUGAUUGUUCUGUGCAAAAUUUUGUAAUUUUUCCUGUGUUCAUCCUCCAUUUCAGGUGCUGAGGGUGAGCAAUUUGAAGAGGAAAAAGAACUGAUAAUCAGUUAAAUUAAGAGACUAUCACGUCAGCCAAUUUUGGAUAGUUGGGUCCUUAUCUUAGUAACAGUUUUUUCCAUUUUUUAUAGAGAUAUCACCUUGCGGUUCAUGCUAAUUCUAUACGAUGACCUGCAAUUGUGGUUUGCCAAUAAGUAGUUUUCAGGGAGUUUCAAGCACUAGUGGGAGAGAGAUGUGAUUGUAAUUUCACCUAAGUCAUAACGAGUAAAUAUUGUUCUUCGAUCUAACGAGUCUAAAAAUUGUUGUUUUUGAGUGGUCGAAGGCAUUAUAUAUAUGGAGUUUUUUUUUUCUUU